GCUACAGUGCUACUGGCCCAUAAUCAGGCAACUGCAGAGUCUUAGGGGGUUAUCUAAUGUAGUCUUGGGGUGGCUGGAUAGACUUCCCAAAGAAGGUGAUGCCGAAGCUGAGGUCGGAAAUUACGAAGAUCAGCUAUGGCGUCUCAGGGUCUUGACCACCUCAAGCCAGGUGAGACACCUUACAGGAUGUCUCCUAAGCUGAUCAGUCUAUGAACAUUUAGUGACCUACAGAAUCUCCCUGUGACAUCUGUUCACUGGGCAACAGCAGCUCACAGGUACUGUUUGCAGGCAGCAGGUGCCAGCGACACCAGAGGCUUUCACCCCAAAACCAGUUCAUUUCAGGUCACACAUCUGUUCUUUCCUCUGAGAGACACCCACUGAGAAGGCUCUUCCGGCUUGGCAGUCCCAGGGGAAGGCCUGAGGAGAGAAGACACAUAGUCAUGCUGACUAAACCAGAUCACCUAGAAUUACCAAAUGGAAAGAUUGUGCCUGCAGCCUGGCCUGUUGCCCACAGCGGUCUACCUGCCACACUGGGAAAGAUCGAGCAGAGACAGAGAAGAAAAGGAGGCUCCAUUUUUCAGGCUGCUCUCCCGCAGGCUCAUGUUUUGUGUUCAUGCCAGGCAGAGAACACAAAAUGUUCCAAUAAAUAAGUAUCAAAGGUUAGUGGUGAAAAUGAAGGAGGAGGAGGCAUUGCGUGAAAAACUAAACAUGCAAAAUAUUACACACAAAGAGAACCAAAAUGCAGGUUCACUGGAAAUGAUAGACAAUAUGUUAAAACAAGAGGAGAGAAGAGAGCUGAAAUAAUCAAAUGGAAACACACAAUUUAGGGCUAAGAUCUUGUUGUGUUCAGCCACAAAUGAUGGCCAGCAGUGAGGAAUCUGUGUGUUCUCCACACUCUUCGCUCCUGGGAAGUCAACUCACAUGGACCAUGAUAUCAAUAUCUGCUCCUUCCCCUAAUAUCUGUUUGACCUUGGGUCAGUUACUUAAACUUCCUAAGCCUUAGUUUCUUUGUCUGGAAAAUAGGGAUAGUUAUACCUACCACACAACCACUUUGUAAUGAAUAUGUUGGAAAUUAUAUGCAAAUUGGCUUCCGUUGGUGUUUGGAACAUAGUAGGUUUUUAACUGGAAUAUAAUAGCUACCAUUAUCAGUAUCAUCAUAUUAAUUUAUAUUUCCAUCUUCAGCCCUUAACCCAGGAUCUUCAGUAAAUGUUGAAUUCUCAAAUUUGUUAAAUUCACUUGUCUAUACUAAUAUUUUACUCUAGGUUUCUUAGAAUAUUCUAGAUAAUAUUAUUAUGUAGAAUAUGUUAUGUAAGCUUCAUCUUAUCUGUAAAUAUAGUUUUACUUUUUCCUUUC
ensembl:lncRNA CCDC26 CCDC26 long non-coding RNA